rnacentral:rRNA from 1 species
CUACAAAGGAAUUGACGGGUCCCGCACAAGCAGCGGAGCGUGUGGUUUAAUUCGUUGCUACACGAAGAACCUUACCUGGGUUUGACAUAGCAGUGGUAGGGAAGAGAAAUCGGACCGACCCUUCGGGGAGCUGUUACAGGUGUUGCAUGGCUGUCGUCAGCUCGUGUCGUGAGAUGUUCGGUUAAGUCCGCUAACGAGCGCAACCCUCGCCUUUAGUUGCCAGCAUUCAGUUGGGCACUCUAGAGGGACUGCCGGUGUCAAACCGGAGGAAGGUGGGGAUGACGUCAAGUCCUCAUGGCCUUUAUGUCUAGGGCUACACACGUACUACAAUGGCCGGUACAAAGGGCAGCCACUCAGCGAUGAGGCGCUAAUCCCAUAAAGCCGGUCUCAGUCCGGAUCGCAGUCUGCAACUCGACUGCGUGAAGUUGGAAUCGCUAGUAAUCGUAGAUCAGCAUGCUACGGUGAAUACGUUCCCGGGCCUU